rnacentral:tRNA from 1 species
GGAAGGUUGCGCCGAAUGGUAAGGCAGCGGUUUGCUAAACCGUGAGGGUCUUAAAGCCCUCUGUGGGUUCGACUCCCACACCUUCCG